rnacentral:rRNA from 1 species
GGGUGCGAUCAUACCAACACUAAAUCCCAUCAGAACUUUGAAGUUAAGCGUGCUUAGGCGAGAGUAGUACUAGGAUGGGCGACCCCUUGGUAGUCCUCAUGUUGCACUCC